ensembl:lncRNA
UCAAAUUUUUCAAGUGCCUGGCAAAAGAGUACACAAAUCUUUCCUCCAGACAAGCUACUUGAAUUACGAGCCCUUGCUUUCAUACAUAUAUAUGUAUAUAUAUACAUAUUUACCCAAAGGGAAAUUCACAGAUAUGGAAAAUAAUAAAUCUUUCACUGCUUUAUUUGAUUCUUCCUUUGACUCAGCUUCAAAAGACAGACUGUGGGGCUUUAAUCUGACCACAGGCCAAUGGAGUCAGUGCUUUGUUGAAGGACUGCCAUGGAAAUGGGGAGUGAUGCAGCUCCGGAGGAGGCACAUUACGCUGAGGCACUUUGAUGGUGUGUGACUUGGUUUAAGAAAUUGAAAGUCGACAUAAACCUUGCCUUAAUACUGCAGUCUGUGGAAGGAAGGCAGUGCCUGCCAGAGUAUCAGCCCUUAAUUAUAUUGAUAGAAAUAUGGCAAUACAGAAAGAAAAGCUCAAUAUUCUGCAGGUUCAAGUUCAAAAAAUCACCUUGUCCUGGGGAAGAUGGCUUUCCUCAGACAGAGG